GCCAGCAUGGUGUAGUGGUUUGAGCAUUGGACUGGGAUUCUGAAGACCAGGGUUCAAAUCCCUGGUUGGCC